rnacentral:lncRNA from 1 species
GCCACUGGUGCGUCGGCGAUCCUCUCGCAUAUUGUGCUGAAACUCGCGUCGCAUGCUAUCAAUCCCCUGCAGGAUCUCCUGAACCUGCGGCGGCGACAUCAUAGGCGCCGGUGGUGGUGGCUGGAAGUGCUGCGGCUGCGGCGGCUGGUAAGGCUGCGGCUGCGGUGGCUGCUGGUAACCCGGAGGGUAACCAAAAGUAGAUGGGCCAGCAGCCCAAGGGUCUCCAAGUGGACCACUAUGUGGGAGUGAGCUGUAGUUCACAGCUUGCCAAUAAGGGUCUCCCGUGUAAUCAUAACCCUGAGGGAAUACCUGCUCGAACGGGUUGAACUGAGCGGCACUAGCAUAAGCCGGAAUCGGCUCUCCAAAAUUCUGCGGCGGCAGAGGCGGGAUCGGAACAGAAGUAACCUCCGAUACUGGAUGCUGAGACUCCCCUGUCUCAGACUCCCCGGGUAGAGACGUGUAGCGGCUGCUACUAACACGUGGAGGGGUGCCUAUGCGAAUCCCUCCGCGCGUAGACAUGCGCGCGUUCCUCCUUGGCCUCUGAGGUGGAGGAGGUAAAACUGGCGGCGGCGGUGGUGACGGAGUGAUCACGUCACGCCACAGGGCCUCAGAUAGGUCCUGCGGUAGAGGCGGCUGCUGCUGGAGCUGAUGCUGCUGCGAGUGGUGCUGUGAGUGCACCGGCGAACCAUGGAGCGAUUGAAGCAUCGGAGUACCAUGGAGUGAUUGAAGCAUAGGAGAGUUGUGGCUAGGGGUGAAGUACCAAUCAUGCUGCUUGAACCUCUCCUGGAAGCUGUCCACACCAUUAAAUGGUGAUCCUGUGUAUGGCGACCCAUCCGAUAUCUCAAUCGGGUGGUUUGGUGUACCUGAUGGUGGGAGCGAAGGGUCCGUCUCCUCGUCUACGUCCAUCUCGUGACCACCAGGAAAGUGGUCCUCCUGUCCAAGUGGGUUAUGGCCCACUGGCUCCUCCACAUAAGCAUUAGGGUUAUACAAACCCUGGUAGGCUGGCGCUGGAUGCUGGUGCGGUGACUGGUGCAACGGUAUGUAUGAUCCAAGCGAAUCAUGGGGCUCGUUCUCCGAGUGGGGCCCGAACGAGUGGGGUAAUGACGGAGAAGUGCUCGCGGAAACCGAAUGCCUAGCAGGCUCGGCAAAAGACCUCCAAAGGUCGUUGGCGGCUGUGUGGUGUGUAGCAGAUGGAGCCCGCCUAUGCGAGGGACCAGCCUCAUGAUCGUGCGAUGUAGGAAAUCCUCCACGACCUCUCAUCCUUGGCGGCAUCCUGAUCCUGUC